UUCCAGACUCCUACGGGAGGCAGCAGUGGGGAAUAUUGCACAAUGGGGGAAACCCUGAUGCAGCGACGCCGCGUGAGUGAAGAAGUAUUUCGGUAUGUAAAGCUCUAUCAGCAGGGAAGAAAAUGACGGUACCUGAUUAAGAAGCCCCGGCUAACUACGUGCCAGCAGCCGCGGUAAUACGUAGGGGGCAAGCGUUAUCCGGAUUUACUGGGUGUAAAGGGAGCGUAGACGGUGAUGCAAGUCAGAAGUGAAAGCCCGGGGCUCAACUCCGGGACUGCUUUUGAAACUGUGUGACUGGAGUGCAGGAGAGGUAAGCGGAAUUCCUGGUGUAGCGGUGAAAUGCGUAGAUAUCAGGAGGAACACCAGUGGCGAAGGCGGCUUACUGGACUGUAACUGACGUUGAGGCUCGAAAGCGUGGGGAGCAAACAGGAUUAGAUACCCCUGUAU
rnacentral:rRNA from 1 species